CUGCCUGCUCUUCCAAAGGUCCUGA
rnacentral:piRNA from 1 species